rnacentral:ncRNA from 1 species
AAAAAGGCUUGGAAGGAGACCACGUAGUCUGCUAAACAUUCGACAGAGAGGGAAUAUCACUGGCUGGAAGUAUUCCCGGGAUCAGGUGGCAGAUGAAUUUCACUCUGGAGCCGUGCCGUUGAACCUUGCAGUAGGCGGUGCCGUGUCGUGCGCGUUAAGCAUAUGCUAAGAGUCUGAGUAUUCAGGAAAAAGGGUGGUAACGCGGAGCAUCUUCGUCCCUAGC